GAUGAACGCUGGCGGCGUGCCUAAUACAUGCAAGUCGAGCGAACAGACGAGGAGCUUGCUCCUCUGACGUUAGCGGCGGACGGGUGAGUAACACGUGGAUAACCUACCUAUAAGACUGGGAUAACUUCGGGAAACCGGAGCUAAUACCGGAUAAUAUAUUGAACCGCAUGGUUCAAUAGUGAAAGACGGAUUUGCUGUCACUUAUAGAUGGAUCCGCGCCGCAUUAGCUAGUUGGUAAGGUAACGGCUUACCAAGGCAACGAUGCGUAGCCGACCUGAGAGGGUGAUCGGCCACCCUGGAACUGAGACACGGUCCAGACUCCUACGGGAGGCAGCAGUAGGGAAUCUUCCGCAAUGGGCGAAAGCCUGACGGAGCAACGCCGCGUGAGUGAUGAAGGUCUUCGGAUCGUAAAACUCUGUUAUUAGGGAAGAACAAAUGUGUAAGUAACUAUGCACGUCUUGACGGUACCUAAUCAGAAAGCCACGGCUAACUACGUG
rnacentral:rRNA from 1 species